AAAACACACAGGACAUAACCAUUUUGCUGCAUAUUGGGCUGUGUAGCUGCCGACCAGUCAUGAUGAACACUGUGCACUGCUGAAAGCUCCUUCAAUGGGGUUGUGAGUGUGAGAAUGAACUGGACCAUGGAGCAAUGGAAGAAGGUUGCCUGCUGUGACAUUUUCUUUUAGAUCAAUUCAAUAGCCGGGUACAUAUGAGUCAUUGACUUUUAGAAGAGAUGGCAUGAGGAUGCACAAUGGGAAGAAGGCAAGCAG